UCUUCAUUCAGCAACCCUAGCGCCGUGUUUGAGCGAGGAAGACCUCCACGGCCAGACUUCCACGCGGCGCGCCGUUGCUCCGGCGUCGCCUUUGCCGCAAGAACAACAUGGUCGCCGGCCUUCAGGUACUCCGUGGACGCCAAACGUUGGGAUUCUUCUUGCACGGCGAGUUGAUAAAUUCGUCCGAGUGAGGGUACCGGCUCCAUGGCGAGAAUUUGACUCCGAAAAGGCAAAAGAGCGAUUUGCGGAAGCUUAUUUCAAGUGCUCUGAUACCAUGAAAGAAUAUGGACUAAUGGAAAGCUAGAAGAAAGAAUAGAGGGAUAAAAUUAUGUAUAUUGCUUUCUCAUGUAUAAACUGAAAGAGUACAUACCUAUUUAUAGUACACAGAGCAAACUAAACUUGGAAAAGAAUAUACAAAAAGGAGGAAAGAAUAAUUUCCCGA